GACCCGAUGGCGAAGUUGGUUACCGCAUCUGUCUAACACAACAAAGUGCACAGAAGAUCGCCAGUUCAAGUCUGGCUCGGGUCA